UAGGCUGUGUUUUUCCUUUUCUCCUCCUUCUUUGACUUUGUCUUAAAGACUUUAAUAUUUCUUCUAAUAUUUCUUCUAUUCUUCUUCUAUUCAUGAUCUGUUCUCUCCUGCAAAAAACAGCAAUGUUUUUCUUUAGUCUUUCUCUAUCCCUUUGCCUCUCUAAUGGCUGAAACAAAGCCAGGCAGGGAGAGACAGUUCAGAAGCUGCUGUGCUGUGAGGCAACAACUCCAGCAUUAAAGAAUAAAAAGACAGCCCAGCCAUGUCUGGCUGAAGCCCAGGAACGGCUGGAGGAGGGAGAUCCCUCUGUCCUGGACCAGAUGUGCUCCUCUGCAAUCUUCAACCCCAGGAAGGUGUCUGUGCAGUGAGAUGGACAUCCCAAAAGGAAUUGGCGCAGUGGAGGAGGGAAUAUUCCCUGUCCUUAACCAAAAGGCGCCACACCGCAGUCACCAUCCCCAGAAGGGGUUUGGGCGGUGAGAUGGACAACCUGAAAAGACCUUGGCGCGGCUGGAGGAGGAAGAACCACCUGUCCUUGGCCAGAUUGCGCCCCACUGCAGACAUCAAACCUGGGAAGAGGUUUGGGCAGUGAGAGAGAGACAAAGGCAGACUUCAAGAGAUGUGACAGAUGUCGAGUUGUGCUUUCCUUCCUAUCCAGAAAAGGUUUUCUGCUAACUCAUAAAAAGGACAACCUAGUUCCAUUUCAGAAGCUACAACACUUUGGAGUGGUUGUAGAUGCAUUGCUGACCAGAGUCUACCUGACCAAACAAAGGGUAAGAUCCAUGAAGAACACCUUCAAGCAGGUAGGUUGUUCUCAGUUAUCUGACCUAGUGUUACUGGCGCACCUACAGUGCCUGAUCUGCUUCAAUUAAUAGUUUGUCAUAAACACGAGGAGCCUAGAGUGGUUCCUCUAGCUAUUUCAACAAUAAAUGGCACAGAUAAAUCACUUGUUCUGACAUAUACCAAAUAAGUUCAAAUCCCUUUGAACGGUGGUUGUGCUGCCAAUC